rnacentral:rRNA from 1 species
UUGAGCGGAGAUAUAUGGAGCUUGCUUUAUAUAACUUAGCAGCGAACGGGUGAGUAACACGUAGAUAAUCUAUCCUAUACUGGGGGAUAGCCCGAUGAAAGUUGGAUUAAUACCGCAUAUAGCUAUAUAGUUGCAUGAUUAUGUAGUGAAAGAUUUAUUGGUAUAGGAGGAGUCUGCGGCACAUUAGCUAGUAGGUGAGGUAAAGGCUUACCUAGGCGACGAUGUGUAGCCGGUCUGAGAGGAUGAACGGCCACAAUGGAACUGAGACACGGUCCAUACUCCUACGGGAGGCAGCAGUGGGGAAUAUUGCACAAUGGGGGAAACCCUGAUGCAGCAACGCCGCGUGAGUGAAGAAGGUUUUCGGAUUGUAAAGCUCUGUUAGCAGGGAAGAGGAAGGACGGUACCUGCAGAGGAAGCCACGGCUAACUACGUGCCAGCAGCCGCGGUAAUACGUAGGUGGCAAGCGUUGUUCGGAAUAACUGGGCGUAAAGGAUGCGUAGGCGGUUAAACAAGUUAUAUGUUAAAUAUAUAGGCUUAACCUGUAGAAAGCAUAUAAAACUGUUUAACUAGAGUGCAGGAGAGGUAAGUGGAAUUCCUAGUGUAGCGGUGAAAUGCGUAGAGAUUAGGAAGAACACCAGUGGCGAAGGCGACUUACUGGACUGUAACUGACGCUGAGGCAUGAGAGCAUGGGGAGCAAACAGGAUUAGAUACCCUGGUAGUCCAUGCUGUAAACGAUGGGUACUAGGUGUGGGUUGUGAAUAACAAUUCGUGCCGUCGCAAACGCAAUAAGUACCCCGCCUGAAGAGUACGAUCGCA